UACAUUAAAAAUGUAAGAAUAAAUACAAAAAUAAAUGUGGAAAUAAAUACAAAAAUAAAUAUAUUGAUUGAAAUAAAUGUCAAUCAAUAAAUAAAAGCGCUUUGCCUUAUAUUUACUUAUUUCAUUGUCAGCGCCAACUUGCAAGUGGAAAUGUAAUUCAAAUGAGGGGGCGUUCCUAAGGGUGCCAUGGGUUGAACUAUUCGCUUAUUGGUUGAUCGACAUUCGAUUUCUGAAAUCUACUAGCCAUGCCUGCCACAGAUGACAGAACGUGGGUCUGAAAGUCAGGGAAACAGCCGACCUAGUUUAGUAGUCCUACUUGGUGAGAAGUGAGAGAAUAUGCAUUAUCCACCGUCGAAUGUCAAAGCAUGGUAUAAGAGUCUCUGACUUGAAUAAUUCCACUGACAUCGCAACGUUGGAUGCUCGGUGAUUACAGGGAUCCCAGGAUCUCAUCCAAAUUCUGGGUUCAGACUGAUGCAAGGACGUCUCAGGUUCCGACGUACAAAGGUUCAGAGACUUCGUGUGCAAGAAUCCAUGCCACGUCUGGAUCCACCGGGAAUUGUCCGCACACCACAACUACAAACUGUUCGGCGUAGAUGAUAUUCUGUGCCAGCCCCCAACAGUCAAAGGCAUAGCUAUGGCAACCAUAAAGUCAUAAAUUAAAGCUCUAUAUUAGGAGACUCGGAAGGAAGUACAAAAAUAAAUUAAGACCAUAUUUUUUUCACCCAUUUUGGAACGAUAAACCCAUAUACAGUAUAAUAUAGACCAUUUUAAAGUAAGUUUAAAUAUUUCAUGCUUUUAUUAUUUAUUACGCGCUAGGAAUCUUAAUUCAUUUAGAUUUGGAGUGCUUUCGCUGCCAGCCUCUCCCAGUCAAAAAUUGAUUGGAUGUCAAGCGCUGUCAAUGGCAGCCAAUGAGUUAAAUGUUGAUGUUUAUGGCUUGCAAAAAUAAGAAACCCUAAAAUUUUAUGUCUCAGAAUUACGAAAAAAAAAUUCUGGGCCCUGCAACACAUUGUCUGUUAUUGCAGAAAUGUUGGUAUAGUUUUAGUUGCCACUUCUGGGAGAUGAUUGGAUGAAAUUUUACCCAUCAAAAUCUAAUUAUGAGGUGUGGCACGCCCGCUUUGCUUGUUGGCUCUUUGAAAAUGGCUUAACAAGUUCAACUUCAAAAGGGAUAAUGUAAAGUGCACAUUUCUAAUCAAAAACAUAACAUUAAAAAAAAAAACAAUAAAAGCAUGAAAUAUCCCUGACCAAAAAAGUUAAAUAAAAUUAUAUAAAUGCGAACACUUUCACAGUCUAGGGCUAGGCACAUACAGAUGAGGCUAAUCAAUAACUAAAUUUGCCAUAUACGAUGUGUGCAUGUUUAGUUAUAUUUUAGGACUAGUUGGUUCAACUUUAAAUUACAUAU